rnacentral:misc_RNA from 1 species
AAAAUUAUAAAAAAAAAAAAACUGUAAAAGUGUCUUUAAUAACAAAACUCAGCCAGCUGCAUCAAAUUCUUUCUCUAGAUUUUGUCAUGUGGCAACCAGCAGGUAAAAUAAAAGAUGAGGAAUAAAGGUGUCUUUUUACUGUUCCUUAGGAGCAGUAAAAAUGCCAUGGAUUUUAGUAUAAUAUAAUAAUUUCAGGAACACAAGGACGUGCACCAACGUCAACCUUCCUCCAAGAAAAUGCUAUAGUUAAACCAUUUAAAGCAGGUAGUCAAUAAAUCAAACGCGUAUCAACUAUUCUGUAGAACACGCAUGAAAAAUAGAUAAAAGAAAUAGAUAACUUAUUUUAAAUAUAUAUAUAUAUAUUUAACUUAUAUGCCAACUGAACAUUAAUUUACCUAUAACUUUUUAUUUAUAAGUAAAUUUGAUAAACUUAUAAGUCAUGCCAAACACUCUCUAAAACAUGUGAGAAUCACAUGCAAAAUAAGAAUUGUGUCUUAUGCAUAGGUAUAACCACUAGGAAUAAAAAAUUCAUUAGUUAUACACAGCGAUGAAUAACUCAGUGGUAGUUGUAUCUAUAUUUGAUAUGGUUGUAUACAUGCAGUGAUGGAUAUAUGCAUUGAUGGGUAUAGAUCAGUGGUAGCGGUAUUAUAAGAUCUCUAGCAGAAACAAAUCAGACAAUAUAUGGCCGAAUGUGUUGGUGAGCUGAAAAAUGGCCAUUGAUUUGUGUCUCUUGACCCAAUAGGUAUAUCUGUGGUCGAUCAUGCAAGCUCAGCCCAAAAUAUAUUUGUUGUGAUGCUACUAAUUUAUUUUAGAGGAAAUUAUCAAAAUAAUGUUAAAAAAAAAUUCUAAAAUUAACUAUAUUAGAUAAAUUUUUCUAUUUUUAAUAAUUAUUUGGUAGGUGAGAAAUUCGUGAAGUGAAAUUUUUGUCUACAUAAAUCCAUCAUACAUAAAAAAUAUAAAUAUGUGAGAUUUAUAUAUUUAAUGGGUGAUUUUAAUAACACCCACUUCCUUAUAUUGGUGUGAAUAAUAACAUUUAUAAUACAAUAAGCGUUGAAAUUUGACGGAAAGACUAGAAUACUCUAGUUAGUCUAAGAACCUAUUUGGCAUUGCUAUUGAAACUGU